rnacentral:rRNA from 1 species
GAUCAUGGCUCCGGAUGAACGCUAGCGACAGGCUUAACGCAUGCAAGUCGAGGGGCAUCAUGAGGUAGCAAUACCUUGAUGGCGACCGGCGCACGGGUGAGUAACGCGUAUGCAACCUGCCCGAUACCGGGGUAUAGCCCAUGGAAACGUGGAUUAACACCCCAUAGUACUUUUAUCCUGCAUGGGAUGGGAGUUAAAUGUUCAAGGUAUCGGAUGGGCAUGCGUCCUAUUAGUUAGUUGGG